AACUCACAAGCCACCCUACAAUAACAUGCACAGGGCACUCACGAGAGCAGUCCCAAUGUAACUGACGGGUACGUGGCUGUCGAGUCCGUGCAAAACAUGGUACCUGAAUGUCAGGAGUCCCGGAAGGGGAAGACAGCAGUGCCAGCAGUGAGGUUUUGAGAGGCACACGAAACAACUAGUUGAGAAGGAGUUACAAAUCCAGGGCAAACGCCCAGGCAAUACCCCACCUUCUUCUCAUAAGAGGCAUAUAGCCAACACCCCAUCAUACUGGUAAUCAGGGCCCUGGAUAAUGUGGGGUUUGUUUGCUGCUAAUAUAGCCAUUGUAUCUACCCUAGCUGCAGAGCCCUGCUCCUGAACUGAGGCACCAGGACUGCAAGUUACAGCUCUGCUGGCUGAGAGCUUUCUGAAUGGGAACACAGAGCAACCCUCCCUGUCUCUACACAUUCUAGCUCAGCAACGUGUGCUACACCCAUUCAUCUGAACGCAGAACUAGCUCUGAAACUCAUGAUAAGGCCUUAAAUGCCAUCACACAGCUCAUUUAUUUCCCCACUGUCCCGAAGUGCUUCCCAGGUGCUGAAAUCCUGGCUGCCAAAACCUCCAUAGCCUCUGCCGACAACCUCAGUGACAUAGCUCUGCGUUGCAGCACCUUCCCUGCUGCUGCGGGCAGGGUGCUGCCAGAGGCUGUGCGUUCAGCCACAAGACGCCAGGAGCACUGAGGGUGGUCGCUGUGCCUGGCACGCAGCUGGGGAACCGAGGCCCCUAGGGGACAUGCCAUGUCCCCACACAGAGGGGAAGCGUGUGCCAGAGCAGCAGCAGCAGCCGGUGCCUCUCUUUUUCCAUGCGUCUGUCCCCUCCUCAAAGCAAUUUAGCAAUUUUCUUCGCCUUGAUGCCAGUGGCAUUACAUAAGUGUAACCUGGUUGUGAGAUCACGAUACGACACGUCGAUUAGCCAGGGAGGCACAAGGUCAUAACCAGCCUGAGGAAGGAGAGGCAGGCUGUGCAUACACACAAACACACCUAGGUGGAUGUAUAUAAACACACGUGGGCCCCUGGUGUUCCCAUCGCAGAUGUGCUGUGCGUGGCACAUGUCAGCCGGGGCAGGCUAUCGACCGCUGCCUGUGUUUCUGCAUCAGAACCUUUCGGUUUUCCCUUUCAGGCUUGGAGUUACUUCUCUUUUACAUAAAUAGCACCACUCGAGGCUGCCUUCCCGAUAGGUGGAAUAGUUUCCCCUUGAGAAGGAACUGGUGGAAAUCCCCUCUCUUGAGACAUUUUAACUCUGCCAAAAAAUGUACAAUGGGAGUGACUGCUUUAACUAGCAAGCUGACUUUGGAUGAGCUAAUGGAUUUUUCCAUCACUAGUGUCUAGUUCCAGGGAUUUCCAUGAAUUGCUGUCAGGACAGAAGAAGGCAACAGAUUGCAACUGCGGGAUCUGCUGUUUCAGCUCCACUGACACGUCAUUCCCUCAGGACACCCAGUGACCUGGUUAAUCUAGUUCCUUGCUUCUGACUUCUCCUCGUAAAUGAUUUAUCAACUGGCGUGGAUCCCUGUUUGCUUAAGGAGGCGUGUGACGACCUCUCGCAGGCUGGCUGCACAGAGCCACGGCUGUGUUUGGCAGCCGGCUGCCGGCCGCAGCUCGUGACCCUUGGCUGGGGGAGCAGGGGAUGGGCAGCAGAGCCCGGUGGGUGAUGUUUAUGAGGCUGGCCGGAGGGCGCUGGUGACCAAGCUGCAGGCUCGGCAGUGGGAACACUCGCCUAGGACCUGCCUCGGCCCACUCUGACCCCCAGGCGAGGCAGCAUCCGUGGGGUGACAUCAGUGUCACGUCUGAAGCAGAUGCAGCUCUGGAAGUCUUCACGUGCACACGUAGUAGCAGGAAGGCCAGAUUGCUUCUCUGACAGCUCCGUGACCUGACAGCUGCCCACAGUCUGAGCAGUGCUGCUCCUGACCAGGAGAGCCAACCUGCUGCGAGCUGCUGCAGCUCAGUGCACGAGUGCUGGGGGAACAUCCAGGGCCCCAAGAGGACAUCCUUCCUGUAUUAGUAUUGCCUCCCUGAACUAUCAAUUAAAAAGAACGCCACAAUUCUGUACCCUGUGGAUGCCGCCUGCCUUCUGUGCGCGCACAAAUCCCACUACGAGAGGUACUGUAAGUACUGAGGUGUUAAAGACGCCAGAGGGAGCCCAGUGGGAUUUCAGAAGAGCAGCGGUCCCGACUGCUUUGGAUGUCAGCGCAGGUCGGACGUGUGAGCCCCAGGCCCCGCCUGUAGGGCCCCACCACCUUUGGAACCUGGUUCCCUCAGCUCCCUCUGUGAAUACGGCAGUUAGCUCCCAGGGUAUUGCGAGGAUGGAAAAAGUAAAGACUAUGAGUUCUCAGGAAAUAUUGAAACGGGGUCAACUGAGUAACAUUUAAGUCAAUUAGAAAGACGGUCUGUUAACAGUCUGUUAAUAGCUGGCUGAGAUGGAUUCCCAUGAUUCCCGGUGCCAGCAUCUCCGCUCACACAAGGAAAUAUUUAUGACUCUUCUCCCUCAAAAGCCCGGUUAACCUCAUUUAAAGCAGAGAGCACGAAGAUAGAUCUAUCAACAUUAGGGACAUCAACUCUCCCUUUUUGUCCCCACGAUUACAAGAGAAAAGGAGAAUUCAAACCUUAAAGUGGGAAGUGAAUUACGCAGAGUGGCCGCAGAUGGGAGCCAUUAAAUGCCCGGCUGCGUUUUUUUAAUUGAAACAAUACAGCAAUUUACUAUACAAAUAGCUCUGGCAGAGCGCUGCUCUGGUGCUGUGGAAGCUGCCCGCCCCGCGUCCCACGGGUCACACACGGCAGCACGGCGCGGACCUCCCGCUCCCAGCACAGCCGCCGGCACCCGGGGCGAGGCGCACCCCUGGGCACAGCACCGCGGCUCCGCCUCGCUUUCCAGACGACUCCAGGAACGUCAGGACGAGCUCCCAGCGGCAGCUCCCGGCCCAUUACCAAAUACAGAGUCCAGAGGGAAGCGAGUCCUCGCUCCUCCUUUUGGGCGAGGCGAAGGGGAAAAAACAAAGCCGGAUGGGUCCCACUGUCAUCUUGACUGCCCGCGGGUUUUGGUCUGAGCUCCCGAAGCUUUAGGCCUGCCUGUAAGUCCAGCUUUGAAAGGGAAGGCGUUUAUUUUCAGUUUUCUGACGAGUGAGUAAUGGGGCUGCCAUCUAGAGGCCACUGCAACUUUCCAGCACAUUCCUUCGGACAGGAGUGGCAUUGUCAAUAACCUCCUCCUCCCACUACCUCCUCAUGAAGGACUUCUCGCUUCUAAAUGAAACUGUUACAGUACAAAGCAGUUCUCCAUCCACAUCCCUGCCCACGGCGGUGGGCUGGAACUGGGUGAUCUUUAGCGUCCCCUCCAACCUGAGCCAUUCUAUGACUGUGUCAUCUCUCAUUCAACGAUUGCAAAUUCUGCCUCAAUCAAUCCGGCUUAAGAAGGAGCUCUACUGAUAGGUAAUCUGUGUAUCCACUGCAGGAAUGGGAUGCUGGGAGUGCUGGCUCUAUGAGUCUCAGCUCCAUCCUUCCAUCCUGUCCCUGAGCUGAACAGCACCAGCCAAACUGGGCCAAACUCAGCGGGAUCCACUUUAGACCCUGCCUUGCAUAGAAGUCGGCUGCUGCAAAUGUGAACAGGAGGCAGAUACAGGGCAGCCAUGGCCACCCACCGCUCACCACGUGAGCUGCCUGCUCACUUGUGCUAAACCCUGUGCCCAAAUGGAGCGGCCCGGCAGGCUGCAGGGCAGCAGGGAGUGAGGGCCGCACUGUGCUGCGCAGGCCUGGCAGCAGAGGAACCCCACUCCAGUGCUUUGCAGAGCACUUCAAAUUUGCUUGCAGACUGCCUGCCUCGCACCCCGCACCCACCAAUUGCAAAAUCCCCUGUUGAUAUGACUAAGAGUCACGCUCUGCAGCCUCAGCUUUGGGUUCUACCUCUCUCGGUCCUGAAAUGGGGACAGGGAAGUGCCAGAUGCUUUCUGUUCUCCUUGCUCAGGACUCUGCGACCAUGGGUGUUUUUGAGUCAGCGGUGCUCAAGGGACCUUUCAGUCAGCAUAACUGCGUGAGUGGCCAAAUAAAAACAGGCCCAAACGCCAAUGGGGCUCUGCUUACAUCAAGGAAAGGGGAAGCAGCUCUUCUACAGCGAGCGCUAGCGAAGUUCUGCAAGAGGCGGCUAAAAAUAGGGCUGCCCUCUACAACACUUCCGUCCUGCCUUUGACACGCUCGCGGCUUUCAUGUCCCAUCGGCCCCGCCAUUUCCUCGCCCCACACUCGGCAUCGCCCCACAGCCCUUCCUGUCCGCGCGGGGCUUUGAAGCAUGGGCAGCUCCCUCACGCCAGAUGGCAGAGGGCACUUCCUCUGCUUUCUUCACUCUUUUUGAGUGCUUUGGUCACAAGUGAGAAGUGGGGCGGGUCCCGGUGAAGGUCUCGCCCCAAGAAGACGCUGGAAGUCCCAGAGGUGACCAAGACAAGGAAGGCGUUCCACAGUGGAGUGUUUUCAAGGGUGUUUUCCUCGGUAAAUGAAAUGAUGGGAAGUGUUUCUGUCGAUACCUCCAGGACAACAUUCCCAAGUAUUGGCUUUCAGUUUUGGCAUUUGUUCCUGGAGGAUCGGGGGCUGGAAAUGGCACAGACCUGCUUCUCGGAAUUAGCAGGAAAACAAAGGAGCAAUGUGCAGGAGAGGAUGUGAAGGGGCCGAUGCCUGUCAGCAGGCAGUGACACCGCACGGCUGGCAGAUGAUGGCCCAUGGAAGAUGGCAGCACAGCAGCAGCAGCGUGCCAUCAGAGCAGCAGAGCCCCGGUUCUGCCUGCAUGUCUGUGAGAAGAGGCACGGGACAGAGCUCAGUGUGGGCGGGCUGUUAGGCUGAGGAAAAGGCGAUGACUUCUCUUAACCUCAGUGAAGCAGACUGUUGAGAAGGCCUGUGCAUUUGCCCGAGGUUUUCCAGAUGCUGAGUAAAUAAAAUCCCUGAGAAGCUGGA
ensembl:lncRNA